ACUCCUACGGGAGGCAGCAGUAGGGAAUCUUCCACAAUGGACGAAAGUCUGAUGGAGCAACGCCGCGUGAGUGAAGAAGGGUUUCGGCUCGUAAAACUCUGUUGUUAAAGAAGAACAUAUCUGAGAGUAACUGUUCAGGUAUUGACGGUAUUUAACCAGAAAGCCACGGCUAACUACGUGCCAGCAGCCGCGGUAAUACGUAGGUGGCAAGCGUUGUCCGGAUUUAUUGGGCGUAAAGCGAGCGCAGGCGGUUUUUAAGUCUGAUGUGAAAGCCUUCGGCUCAACCGAAGAAGUGCAUCGGAAACUGGGAAACUUGAGUGCAGAAGAGGACAGUGGAACUCCAUGUGUAGCGGUGAAAUGCGUAGAUAUAUGGAAGAACACCAGUGGCGAAGGCGGCUGUCUGGUCUGUAACUGACGCUGAGGCUCGAAAGUAUGGGUAGCAAACAGGAUUAGAUACCCUGGUAGCACGAUG
rnacentral:rRNA from 1 species